AGGAUAAUAGUUAAUUAUAACAUUUAAUUUGCACUUAAAAAGUAUUGCCCCGCAAUUUAUCUUU
rnacentral:tRNA from 1 species